rnacentral:rRNA from 1 species
CCUACGGGAGGCAGCAGUGAGGAAUAUUGGUCAAUGGCCGGAAGGCUGAACCAGCCAAGUCGCGUGAGGGACGACUGCCCUAUGGGUUGUAAACCUCUUUUAUAAGGGAAGAAUAAAUGCUACGUGUAGCAUGAUGCCUGUACCUUAUGAAUAAGCAUCGGCUAACUCCGUGCCAGCAGCCGCGGUAAUACGGAGGAUGCGAGCGUUAUCCGGAUUUAUUGGGUUUAAAGGGUGCGUAGGCGGUUUUUUAAGUUAGUGGUUAAACGUCGGGGCUUCACCUUGAUUUGCCAUUAAUACUGUAAGACUCGAGUUCAGACGAGGUAGGCGGAAUAAGUUAAGUAGCGGUGAAAUGCUCAGAUAUAACUUAGAACUCCGAUAGCGAAGGCAGCUUACCGGACUGCGACUGACGCUGAAGCACGAGAGCGUGGGUAUCAAACAGGAUUAGAUACCCUUGUAGUC